rnacentral:lncRNA from 1 species
AGUCAGCAUGGGAGGUCGUCUGAACCCGCUAGACAGAGCUCAGGACCGUGGCCAAAUGGCUCGAGGUUUUGGGCGCUCGGCGAGGAAGAAAGCUCGGAUGAGGAAGCAGUUCUAGGGGAGCAAAAGGAAGUAGCUAGGAGAGGGGUUAAAGCCAAGGAGGAUCAAGGGGAUGAAGAGAAAUUCAUUCAGAAGAUCUUAGAAAGGGGCUUGGCGGUGGAUGACAUUGUCAGGACCGGUGAGCACCUUAGAAGGAAUUCAUGGCGAAAAUCAAAGUCGCUUCAGAAGAGGGCAAACUCGACAAGAGCUGCUCUUUGCGUUUCUGACUCGGCGUUUGAGCAAACAAAUCGGCUUUGUAAUCCAUGGAAGGGACCGUUGCCAAAAGCUAGGAUUUCGCAACAGCUCACGAUUGGAGAUAAGAUUGCUGAGGCUCUAGCUACUAAGUCUAGCGUUUACUCAGAGCCAGCAACAAUUUCAGUCAAAAGCAAUCAAGACAGAGAUGCCGUUUCGGACGGGAAGAAAGUUUUCCUAACGGAGAGGCCGGCGAACCUCGGAAGCACAGCCGGUGAGUUGGCAUGGUCUGCGGAAGUCAGGAAAAGCGGUGCGGGAGUCGAAGCGCGCGGUCUGGAACAGGGCGCUGGGAAGUUUUUGAUUUUGAAUGAGGAGAAGGGCUCUGGACCGAUCAGGCCCAUUUGGCUUGGAAAGUCAAGAAAAGUGAGGGUGUUUUUCCCUGAGGGGCUGGGCGGUUGUUGUCACGGGCUGGACUGGGCGCAAUGCUUUUGGUGCGCGUUUCUCUCGUGGAGGCAGCCAACAUCAUCAGGGGGUGGUGGCCUCAAGAAGAACCUUGAUGCACCAGUGACGGGAAAGAAUGGAGGAAGCAACACGGUGUCGGAGAUUGGAAAGAAAGGAGAGAAACAUCAAAGUAAGGAACUAGGAAAGGAUGUUGGAGGAAGCAAAGGUGCAGGGCAAAUCAAAAUCGGUGAGGUGGAGGUUCCAGUGACUUCAAAGGGGAAGAGUGGAGAUUCUCCGGAAUUUAGGGACAGAGAAGGAGAAGUUACAAGGGGAGGAACAAAGGUGAAGGUAUAUGCUAAAUGUACUCAAAAAGGUCAUGUGUUUGCUGAUUGCAAGAUAGAUGUGUAUUGUGACAUUUGUGAUUCAGUCGAGCAUGUCAAUCAUAAGUGCCCGGUACUGAAAUUUGCAAAGCCGGUUGUCCAAGCUGUGGGUUAUGCGGUUGAUGGCCUAGGGUUUCAGCAUAUACCGCAUCAACCGUUACAAAGGAGCAAGAAGGGUACGAAAAAGGCACUAGUGCGAGUGGUGGGUGGUUCACUUACUAUAGAAAAGUUAGUCGCUCUGUUGCACAAAUUGUGUCCAGCAAAAUGGAAAUGGGAGCAAGUGCCGCAAGGGGAGGAAGCUUUUGUGAUUCUUUUCCCUUUGAAAAGUGAGAUGCAGCGAGCCAUCAACUUUGGAGGGGCUGAUGUGAAGGAAGGAGGGAAGGAGAGGGACAAUAAAAGGACCAAGAACAAUGGCAUGGUUGUCGAUGACAACAAAGAAGAUUAUGAAAAGGAGAAAGAUGAGGUGCAGCAAUAUGGUGAGCAAAGGAAAGAGGAUGACAUUGAGGAGAUGGCCGAAAAAAUAGUGGACGUGUUAGUUGAGAGGCUGUUAGGUGAGGUGUAUGAGAGGGUGGAGAGGGAGGAGGAGAUCAUGGAGGGGACAGAUUUGCAGCAGGAAAAGGUGGAACAACUAGCCAACAUUGAAGAGGUUUUGGUGACACCAAAAAGAGCAAGUGAAAGGUUGGUGGGCAGCGGUGGGAGACACUCCCUUGAAAAGGCGAAAACAAGGAAGGCUUGGAUGAAUCUCGACUCUGUUUCAGAUAGACAAGUUGAUUCUUUUAGUGCUUCAGACAAGGAGGAGGAGGAGGAGGAAAGUGUAGAUCAUGUUUUGCUUAAUCAUUUGUGUGGUGACAUUAUGGAU